GUGGUUGUAGCUCAGUUGGAAGAGCGCCUGACUGUGGAUCAGGCGGCCGCGGGUUCGAACCCCGCCAGCCACCCCA
rnacentral:tRNA from 9 species